GAUGAACGCUGGCGGCGUGCCUAAUACAUGCAAGUCGAGCGAACGGACGAGAAGCUUGCUUCUCUGAUGUUAGCGGCGGACGGGUGAGUAACACGUGGAUAACCUACCUAUAAGACUGGGAUAACUUCGGGAAACCGGAGCUAACACCGGAUAAUAUUUUGAACCGCAUGGUUCAAAAGUGAAAGACGGCCUUGCUGUCACUUAUAGAUGGAUCCGCGCUGCAUUAGCUAGUUGGUAAGGUAAAGGCUUACCAAGGCAACGAGGCAUAGCCGACGUGUGUGAGUGGUAGGCCACAUGAGAGCUGGGACAGCGUCCAGGCGCCUGCGGGAGGCAGCAGUAGGGAAUCUGCCGCAGUGGGCGAGAGCCUGACGGAGCGACGCCGCGUGAGUGAUGAAAGUCUUCGGAUCGGAAAACUCUGUUAUGAGGGAAGAACAUAUGUGUAAGUAACUGUGCACAGCUUGACGGUACCUAGUCAGAAAGCCACGGCUAACUACGUG
rnacentral:rRNA from 1 species